UUGCAUGAUGACAAACACUUUGAAUUUCUAUAAUUUCUGGUACCUCUUAUGUCAGAAGAGAAGCCCAGCAGGGUUCUCUUCGAUGAUCUAAAUGGACUUCUGAUU
rfam:Fonsecaea pedrosoi CBS 271.37 unplaced genomic scaffold supercont1.2, whole genome shotgun sequence.